rnacentral:lncRNA from 1 species
UCCCAGUGUAAUGCAAAUAAGGAGAGCGGCUGGAGUGAAUGGAAAGCACCAUUACACUUUUAUGAAGAUGAACCUUGAUGAAGAUGAGCAAUGGAAAUGUGUCGUGGAAAGUCAGCGAUGCUAAGGAGCCAUGGCUGGAAGGUUCUGCCGAGGCAGCAGGUGUGGAGGCGGAGGCACCGAGGUGCCACACCUUGCACAGGCUCCCCAGUUUGUCUCUAGUGGAUCCUGCACUCCAUCAGUAAACCUUGUUUUGAACAUACUCUUCAUCCAUGUAAGAGAUGAAAAAAAAUAUUAAGAGAAGCUCUAAAAUGUUCUCCCUGCCCCUGCGGCCUUCAUUGUGUGUCCUGCUUCACACCGGGGCAUCUGGGAGCUGCAGAGACGGGGAAUAGGAAAAGCGAUUUCGGGGUCUAUUGGCUCAGGCUUGAACAGCGAAAGGGAGGUUGGAUAGGCGGAACUUGUAUAAAAAGGUUUAAGGGCUUUCUCAGUAAGAGGCUUAAUGAGGGCUAAUAUGUGCCAUCUAAUGUGGAGCAUCUAUUUUUAGGAAAGCUUGAUUUUGCUAAGUGUCUCUGAGAUGUUAGGAUUCAGACGGUAGGGCAAAUGAUGGCUUUGGAAUAAGGUGUUCUUAUGUAAAUCCCCGGGCUCUGCAGCCAAUGAGAUUACCCAUUCCAGUUACAAGGGGGAUAUGGGAGGGGGUGGAGGCCCCAAAGGGUGGGAUCAGGGGCCGGCUGUGGAGCCAGCUCUGCCCUGAAGGGGCUGAAGCCCACCCAGCCUGCAGCUGCUCCCUGCUGCGGGACAGCCCUGGAAGUUCUGCAGCUCCCAUCAAAGCGCAGGUCUUCAUGGACUGCAGCAUUCGGGACCUGAGUCCAUGCCCAUGCAGAGGCCCACUGCGUUUCCAGAAUGCAGGCAGGAGAAGCUGUAAUAGAUUCUCACCCUGCCAUGCGCACUGAUGCUCACAUUCUAAACAGUCAGGAGAGCAGAGCAGAGGAACACCAGUGCAUUUUGCCCGUGGGAAGCCCGCAUUGUGAGCCUUCCGUCCUUGGCGGUUGGCCGUGUCUGGAGGUGCCGGCUGACAGGCAACAUGCCUUUCUUCCUUCCUUUCUUUCUCUCUCUCUCUCUCUCUCUCUCUCUCGGAGUCUCUCUCUGUCUCGGCUCUCAGCAACCUCUGCAUCCCGGGUCCUGGUUCAAGCAAUUAUCUCAUCUCAGCCUCCCGAAUAGCUAGGAUUA